rnacentral:rRNA from 1 species
GAUGAACGCUAGCGGGAGGCCUAACACAUGCAAGCCGAGCGGUAGAGAUUCUUCGGAAUCUUGAGAGCGGCGUACGGGUGCGGAACACGUGUGCAACCUACCUUUAUCUGGGGGAUAGCCUUUCGAAAGGAAGAUUAAUACUCCAUAAUAUAUUGAUUGGCAUCAAUUGAUAUUGAAAGCUCCGGCGGAUAGAGAUGGGCACGCGCAAGAUUAGUUAGUUGGUGAGGUAACGGCUCACCAAGACGAUGAUCUUUAGGGGCCUGAGAGGGUGAUCCCCCACACAGGUACUGAGACACGGACCAGACUCCUACGGGAGCAGCAGUGAGGAAUAUUGGUCAAAUGGGUGCAAAGCCCUGAACCCAGCCAUCCCCGCGUGAAGGACGACUGCCCUAUGGG